GGCGCUGUCGGUACUCAGUCACAUCCAGCUCUCCGGCGUGCCCGGCGAGCUCACCUGCUGACCUGGUCGUCUAAGAAACGUCGCUCUGGUUCUGAUCUCGCCAUGAAUUCCACCCUAUUGCCAGAAAUGGGCUGGUUUCCCUUUGUUGUGCAAAAUGACUGUGUCCUUGAGGAAUGUUUGGAGGGUCUUGGCAACCAGGAAUCAUCCAGAAGCAUAUCUGGUGUCAGCUCAGUUGUGUUGUCAACAUUUCAUUUGGAGUUACCUGACCUUCAGAAGAACUUCAUCCAAUAGCAGACGUGUAUAAACCUCAAGGGUCCUGUGUGAAAAGCUCCAGAUUGGGAACCAGAGGAGUUAUAUGCUUGCCUUCAUCCUUCCCAGGGGUGAUAUUGAAGUUACUUUACAACAGAUGUGGCACAGGUGUGGCAAAGGUUCCAACCCUGCAGAACAGAAGCUGCUCAAUGCUGGGGCAGGAGCCUGGAUAUUCCCUACCCGGUG